GGCUGCUUGGCGAAAUGGUAUCGCGUCACUUUCCGGCAUUUAACUAUGUGGAGCUUGGUGAAGAUUGCGGGUUCGAGUCCCGUGGCGGUCG